rnacentral:misc_RNA from 1 species
CUAAUGUCUACCAUAGAGAUUUAAAGCCGAAAAAUAUCUUGGCAAAUGCAAAUUGCAAGCUCAAGAUCUGUGAUUUUGGAUUGGCCAGAGUUGCAUUCAAUGAUACACCUACCACAAUAUUUUGGACGGAUUAUGUAGCUACUAGAUGGUAUAGAGCUCCAGAGUUAUGCGGUUCAUUUUACUCCAAGUAUACCCCUGCAAUUGAUAUAUGGAGCAUAGGCUGUAUCUUUGCUGAGGUUCUUACGGGGAAGCCGCUCUUUCCUGGAAAAAAUGUAGUUCACCAACUGGAUUUAAUGACUGAUCUGCUUGGAACGCCUUCAAUGGAUACAAUUUCUCGUGUGCGUAAUGACAAGGCUAGGAGAUACCUAACUAGCAUGAGAAAGAAGCAGCCUGUUUCUUUUGCUCAGAAAUUUCCAAAUGCU